rfam:Ictidomys tridecemlineatus contig028892, whole genome shotgun sequence.
UGGAUUGUGGCUCAGCAGUAGAGCACUCGCCUUGCACAUGUGAGGCCCUGGGUUCGAUCCUCAGCACCACAU